rnacentral:sRNA from 1 species
CACAGCUGCAGUGUGCAUGGAAUGAAAAGGUAUCUGUGUUUGGCCGCCAGAGCACCCAGUAUCCUGACCUUCUGAACAAAGCAAACCUCCCUGUUUUUAUGGGUAUCCAGUCGGAAUUCUUUAUUAACACCACCCGAGCAGGUCCAGGGACAUUAUCCGUCACCAUCGAAGGCCCGUCCAAGGUUAAAAUGGAUUGUCAGGAAACACCUGAAGGAUACAAAGUCAUGUACACCCCCAUGGCUCCUGGUAACUACCUGAUCAGUGUCAAAUACGGUGGGCCCAACCACAUCGCGGGCAGUCCCUUCAAGGCCAAGGUGACAGGCCAGCGUCUAGUUAGCCCCGGCUCAGCCAAUGAGACCUCAUCCAUCCUGGUGGAGUCAGUGACCAGGUCUUCUACAGAGACCUGCUAUAGCGCCAUUCCCAAGGCAUCCUCGGACGCCAGCAAGGUGACCUCUAAGGGUGCAGGGCUCUCCAAGGCCUUUGUGGGCCAGAAGAGUUCCUUCCUGGUGGACUGCAGCAAAGCCGGCUCCAACAUGCUGCUGAUCGGGGUCCAUGGGCCCACCACCCCCUGUGAGGAGGUCUCCAUGAAGCAUGUAGGCAACCAGCAAUACAACGUCACAUAUGUCGUCAAGGAGAGGGGCGAUUAUGUGCUGGCUGUGAAGUGGGGGGAGGAACACAUCCCUGGCAGCCCUUUUCAUGUCACAGUGCCUUAAAACAGUUUUCUCAAAUCCUGGGGAGAGUUCUUGUGGUUGCUUUUGUUGCUUGUUUGUAAUUCAUUUUAUACAAAGCCCUCCAGCCUGUUUGUGGGGCUGAAACCCCAUCCCUAAAAUAUUGCUGUUCUAAAAUGCCUUCAGAAAUAAGUCCUAGACUGGACUCUUGAGGGACAUAUUGGAGAAUCUUAAGAAAUGCAAGCUUGUUCAGUGGGCUGA